rnacentral:lncRNA from 1 species
AUGUUAUCUUGUCUCCCUGCCUCUGUCCCCAGGUCUCUGUUCUCUUCCAGACCCUUUUCUGGCUUUCUCUUCCCCUUGACCCCUUCCCCCAUCGCACACCGUGGGGAGAAGGGGGUGUGUCGCUGUUUUCUAUUUAUGGUCUCUCUGGGGAGGGGGUGCAGCGCUAGGACUUUUUUUGGCAUCUGCUGGGCCCUGAGUCACGAGGUGUCAUGUCUGUGUCUGAUAUCCAUGCCUGCUGCCACUCCCCUCUCCCAUCCUCUUCUGCCUCGCAUCCCCCUGUCCGCCUUUGUCUCCUUCCUGCCUCCCUUCCUGUCCUUCCCGCUCUGUUCUUUGGGCGCUUUGUGUAACUGCCGUCUCUUUGUCCCCGCCUCUCCGCUCUCUGCUCCCUCUGCUCCCUCUUCCAGCUCCGAGAAGCUGUCGACCUCAAGGGCAUCAAUAUUUCAGGGUGAUGAAACAAUCCAGUUGUGAUUCAGCCAGCUCAGAGCUCCCUAAGCCUGAAAAAGAGGCCCAGCCAGAUGUCGAGCCACACUCAACACCCCACUACAGGAGGCGGAGGCCAAGUUCAGAUCCGGAUGGGGGCUUGAGGCUGAGACUGAGCCCCUGGGGGCUGAAUCAGGGCCUGAGGCCAAGGCCAAGUCCUUGGGGGCCAACCCCAGGUCUGGAUCGGGGCCUGAGGCCACGGCCCAGCCAUUGGACUUCGUGGUGGCAACAGAACAGGACGGCACCGUGUGCUGGCCAAGCGAAACAGGAGUGAGGAGAGCCGGGGCCCAGGUGAAAAGGGGGUGAAGCUACGUUUGGGUGAGUGGACCUUAAGAAAGAGAGGAGGCGAGCCUCUCCCCCAGCCCCCGUCCGGAUGCUGAGGAGCCAGUCGGCCUUGGAACCAAAGAGUAGGAUGUGCGGAUCCAGGGCCCCAGCCAAUGAGGGUGGGAUGGAGACAACACGGGUAGCAGAGGAACCCGAGGGAGGGGCUGGUGAUAGCUUGGGUGUUUGAGCAUUCAUUUGGAGUUCCUGGGAGCAGGAGCACAAAAAGAAGAGAGCAGGCAAGAGAGGGUAGACCGGGGGUGAGAGCAAGAGUGGGGUCAGGACCCCCGAUAGACCGAACUCGCGUACGAAAAAGCACCUGGACGCGGUUAGCAGGACCAGCCCCUAGACGGGGUCCGGGGCGGAGCUAAGAAGAAGCAGGGCGUGGCAAGGCCCGGGGCGGGAGGGCAUAGCCAGCUCCUGGGGUGGAUCCAAGGGAAGGGGGCGUGGCCAGUGCUCAGGCACGGGGUGCACGCGGAGUUGGAGCAUCUCGAGAGGUGGACGAGAGCCCGGCGCAUGAGCUCCCUCUCUGCCGGCUCUGGAAUUCGAGACCCAAGUGCUGAGGAGAUCUGGGGCAGGCCCGGGCCUGGCCUGGCGCCCGGGGUGGUGACGACGGAGUGCUCAGCUUGUGGGAAGAGGCGAGCCCUGCGAGCCGAGAGUCCCGGCAGGGGCGGAGGGCCCCCUAACGGCCUGGGUCCGCCGAUCGCGCUGGAGUCGGCGCACGUGAUCGACUCCGGGGAGACAGCGCUGGUGGACGGGCUGUGCGUGGCUCCCCGGGAGCGCGGCAAGGGCGUGGCCGGGCUGCUGCGGCGCUUCUGCCCGCAGCUGGUCAAGACACAGAACCCGGGGGUCAAGGUGGCACGGCUCACCCGGGACGACCAAGUGGGCCCCCGGGAGCUCAAGAAACACGGCCUAAUCACCAAGCAGGAGCAUCCUUUGGGUCUGAGUCAAUGCCUCCGUGCUACUGGCGCGGCUGGGCGUGUGCAGCUGACGGCGCUGCGGGCCUCCGUCACCUCGCCGCUGCCCACCGAGACCGUGUCGGAGACUGGCGGCAACGUGGCCCGCCUCCUACUGUUGCCUUCCGUGCAGCGCGACGUUCACCCAGGACUGGCAGCCCUACCGGCCACGUGAGAGCAACCUGCGCCUGCUGGUGGCCAAGGGCCUGGAGUGGCACGUAGACAGCUCCGCGCGCCCGCGUUUACCCACGCUGUGCACGCUCCCCUUCCCCAUCCUGCACGGCGGUGACGGCACGUGGCGCUACCUCAACGUCGACGCCGUGCGCAGCGCUGGUGCGCAGGCGCAGAGCCGGCUUCUGCGGCACCUCUAGGGCCAGGCCCCGCGCCUCGCCGGUCUCAACGCCAUGCGCCAGCUUUUCCUGGCGUCCCAGUUAUGGUCGCAGCUGGCUGACCUCUGCCAGGCCGGCUUGGGGCUCGAGCUGGUCAAGGGUUACACAGAACAGUACCCGCUGGAGGCCGACAUCUAGGGCCUCUCCUCUCGGAGGCGAGAGGAGCAUUUAGAUCCGUCCAUUUUCGCUGCUCUCCAGAAAGCCCCGCCCCCCAGUGUUUGCAAGCUCCGCCCCCUCCCCCUACUCUCCGUGGUCUGCUGGGAAGCCUGCUUACCCUUACCGGAGCCCCCCCCCCCCCUUUUAGCCUUGCCUCUCUGCCAUCUCGCCUCUAGCGCGCCCACUCUAUGGCCCACAACUGGAUCCGAUCGCCGGGUUUGGGGGAGGCCCUUGCUCUGCUAUGGUCCGCCCGUUCCCCUCACGGGCCAAAGAAUGGGUUCCUUCACAGGCUUCAGAGCCUUUUCUUGUCCGUCGCCCUGGGCUGGCGGGGAACUCCGUCCUUCCUGGCUUCUCCCUUCUGCCUCCUCGUGGGCGGAAGCGGGUAGAGGGAUGUGCAAGGUCCAGCUGCCCAACACGUCUUACUUUUCUUCCUCCCGCCCUUUCUCAAGCUCUCAGAGCUUGCCCCGCGCUCCCCUCCUGCCGCCCUCUCAGUCUCUUGCACCUCUACAUCAGUGUCCCCUCUCUCCUUCUCUCUGAGCUCCCCUCCUCCUAUUCCCCGGACCCCCCCCCCCUCCAGACACUUAGCUCCUCAUUGCCCAUUUGUCUGCUCCUCCCUUCCUCUUCCCCAUGAACUCUUCAUCACCCGCCCUGUGUGCAAUACGGAGAGAGAGCCUGUAAGUGAAACAAUCAUAAUGCCCUGUUGACCCUCUGGUGACACAUCUUUACAAGCCUGCCCCCCUGAUGGGGUUCGUCCAACUUUGCACGAUGUUGCUAUUUCCCGGGCCCCCUUCCUAUAUCCCCAACCAGUGCCUGAAGCAGGACAUGAAACAGGGGGCUUGAGCUGGGAAGGGCAGUUUCCUCAGCCCAGUAUGGGGCUGUCUUCUGGCUCUAACCAGGCUUCCUUCUAGUGCAACUGGAACCCCUGCCUCCAGAUAUUUCUGGACAUCCCUCCCUUCCUCUGGUUCCUUUAUGGGUUUUUUUUUUUUUUUUUUUGGACUUUAGCAGUUUUCUAUUUCAAUGCAAGUAGUAACAGCUGCAAUUGCACAGCGCUGUCUUCUACACUGGAUCCUCACAUCUACCACCGAGGGAGGAAACAGGCUCAGAAAGAUCAAAGUGACUUCCAAGUCAUUCAGAGCAGCUGGGAGCCUGGCAGGGACUGGAGUUCAGGUCUGUCCCAAGCCAGAGCAUGCCUCAGAACCUCACUCGUUGUGGCGGUGACUGUUUGAACUUCUUGUUGGACGAUGGACAGUUGCUAGGGAUUUGUUGACAGUAAGCACAGGGGUCGCUGGGGAUGGAAUCAGAGACGUGGGCAGAGGAGGGCGCCAGGAGGUGGAAGAAGGUGGGCGCAGAGGACAGCCGCUGCUCCAUCACUUCCCCCAGUUCCGGUUUUGCUGUUGUGCUUGUCUGCCUUCAGCGCCUGGCCAUGCUGCCACCCUCCCUGUCACUUCAGCCGUGGCUGUAUUACAAUAAAAAGGACCCUUAGCCCA